rnacentral:rRNA from 1 species
AUGCAGUCGACGAACUCUGGUAUUGAUUGGUGCUUGCAUCAUGAUUUACAUUUGAGUGAGUGGCGAACUGGUGAGUAACACGUGGGAAACCUGCCCAGAAGCGGGGGAUAACACCUGGAAACAGAUGCUAAUACCGCAUAACAACUUGGACCGCAUGGUCCGAGUUUGAAAGAUGGCUUCGGCUAUCACUUUUGGAUGGUCCCGCGGCGUAUUAGCUAGAUGGUGGGGUAACGGCUCACCAUGGCAAUGAUACGUAGCCGACCUGAGAGGGUAAUCGGCCACAUUGGGACUGAGACACGGCCCAAACUCCUACGGGAGGCAGCAGUAGGGAAUCUUCCACAAUGGACGAAAGUCUGAUGGAGCAACGCCGCGUGAGUGAAGAAGGGUUUCGGCUCGUAAAACUCUGUUGUUAAAGAAGAACAUAUCUGAGAGUAACUGUUCAGGUAUUGACGGUAUUUAACCAGAAAGCCACGGCUAACUACGUGCCAGCAGCCGCGGUAAUACGUAGGUGGCAAGCGUUGUCCGGAUUUAUUGGGCGUAAAGCGAGCGCAGGCGGUUUUUUAAGUCUGAUGUGAAAGCCUUCGGCUCAACCGAAGAAGUGCAUCGGAAACUGGGAAACUUGAGUGCAGAAGAGGACAGUGGAACUCCAUGUGUAGCGGUGAAAUGCGUAGAUAUAUGGAAGAACACCAGUGGCGAAGGCGGCUGUCUGGUCUGUAACUGACGCUGAGGCUCGAAAGUAUGGGUAGCAAACAGGAUUAGAUACCCUGGUAGUCCAUACCGUAAACGAUGAAUGCUAAGUGUUGGAGGGUUUCCGCCCUUCAGUGCUGCAGCU